AAGUAAGGAACAUCGACUAAGACCUGCCACAUCGAUAUGUCUUACGUCGAUGCCAGCCCAUCCAGGGCA
rnacentral:sRNA from 1 species